UAAUCAUUUUCAUACAAACUGCUAUAGUUGCUUGCCCUUUUGGCAGCAUUUGCUCAGAAGCUUGACUGCCGAGACUAGACUAGACUAGCUUGAUUUUCUUGAUACAUCUAAAUAUUCCAAUGUGAUAUGUUAAAAAUACAGGGAGGAUAUUUGUUUGGCUUAUGAGGAGAUUUUGGUUAACCAACGUUGACGCUUUCACUCGCUCACCAUGUUCAUUUGGUCUGGAUUACUUCUCUAACAUUUUAAAAAUUGCUACUGUCAAGUUUCAGUUGGCGCGGGUGUACAGCAGAGGUAUAUAUGUGAUAAGGUGCUGUGAUCAUGAGAAAAAGUAUGCCGUACAGAGGGGAUCAAGCUGUAUAUUGCUAUGUGGAAUGCUUUGAUUCGAGGUGCUGUCGGGUUGGGAGCAUGAAACAUGCUCUGUAGUUCUUUGGUUCAAUGCAGGAGGAAGGGAUGUACAUAGACCCGAAGAUCUUUAUUAAGAUCAUCCACGGGUUGUGGAAGCAAGGGGAGUGAGAUUAAAUCAAGAAGUUUUUUGACAAAAUGAGGAUUCAAUGGCUCAAGGAGAGUAAGCCCCAAGCUAGAUCAUUAUUGAUUUCCUUUAGUAGGAUGUCACAUAAUUCAUUUAGAGUGGAGCAGGAAUAUUCAAAAAGGAAAUGUACACCAUAUAUAUUAGUAUAAUACAUCUGACACUUUCUCAUCUUUCACUAAUAGCACAUUGAUCAUACCA